CCUACGGGAGGCAGCAGUGAGGAAUAUUGGUCAAUGGGCGGAAGCCUGAACCAGCCAAGUAGCGUGCGGGAUGAAGGCCCUACGGGUCGUAAACCGCUUUUGCACGGGGAUAACACCCUCCACUUGUGGAGGUCUGCAGGUACCGUGCGAAUAAGGGCCGGCUAAUUCCGUGCCAGCAGCCGCGGUAAUACGGAAGGCCCGAGCGUUAUCCGGAUUCAUUGGGCUUAAAGGGAGCGUUGGCGGGCGUUCAAGUCAGCUGGAAAAUCGCGCGGCUCAACCGCGCCCCGCAGUUGAAACUGGACGCCUUGAGGGCACAACAGGCAGGCGGAAGUCGUGGUGUAGCGGUGAAAUGCAUAGAUAUCACGAGGAACCCCGAUUGCGAAGGCAGCCUGCCGGGGUGCGACUGACGCUGAGGCUCGAAGGUGCGGGUAUCAAACAGGAUUAGAUACCCCUGUAGUC
rnacentral:rRNA from 1 species